rnacentral:tRNA from 1 species
GGGCCUGUAGCUCAGUUGGUUAGAGCAGAGGACUCAUAAUCCUUUGGUCCUGGGUUCGAGUCCCAGCGGGCCCA